rnacentral:lncRNA from 1 species
GCAUGUGAUUCCAAAUUGCUCGGACAAUAGGCCUGUGUACCCUCGAGGUCAAGGAAGGAAGCUUUUAAGUGCGGCGAGGCGGGGUCUGUCUGCGCGUCAGCUGUACACGCCUAGGCUACCGCGAGGCGGGGUCUGUCUGCGUCAGCUGUACACGCCUAGGCUACCGCCCGAACGGCAUUUCAUUUGCCUUCUUCGUACUGUAUGUGUAUCUUCUUUUUUCCCCUUGUAUACAAUCUGCUGCAGCUAUACCGGCCAAGAGUAUGGCAUGGUAU